UACGUAGGGGGCAAGCGUUGUCCGGAAUCAUUGGGCGUAAAGCGCGUGUAGGCGGCUCGGUAAGUCUGCUGUGAAAGUCCAGGGCUCAACCCUGGGAUGCCGGUGGAUACUGUCGAGCUCGAGUCCGGAAGAGGCGAGUGGAAUUCCUGGUGUAGCGGUGAAAUGCGCAGAUAUCAGGAGGAACACCAAUGGCGAAGGCAGCUCGCUGGGACGUGACUGACGCUGAGACGCGAGAGCGUGGGGAGCAAACAGG
rnacentral:rRNA from 1 species